rnacentral:rRNA from 1 species
GACGAACGCUGGCGGCGUGCUUAACACAUGCAAGUCGAACGGUAAGGCUCCAGCUUGCUGGGGUACACGAGUGGCGAACGGGUGAGUAACACGUGGGUGACCUGCCCUGCACUUCGGGAUAAGCCUGGGAAACUGGGUCUAAUACCGGAUAGGACUGCACCGUGAGGGUGUGGUGGAAAGUUUCGGCGGUUGGGGAUGGACUCGCGGCUUAUCAGCUUGUUGGUGGGGUAGUGGCUUACCAAGGCUUUGACGGGUAGCCGGCCUGAGAGGGUGACCGGCCACAUUGGGACUGAGAUACGGCCCAG